UCAUGUAGUGCAACUAUUUUCAACUCUUCUUUUUCAACUUUCAACCAACAUUCAAGCUACCACAUUAUUUCUUCCAUACAAGCUGUAUAUAAUCAUUGGCUUUAUAAUUUCGCCAUUCUUCUUGACUUGGUCCAAACUCAAAUCACAAGUGGAACAUGGAAACUGUGAUGUGAGACUGAGAUCUCGUACGUGGACAGCUUAAUUGAUCAUGUUCGAUUCAUGUCUUCAAGAACACAGAUCCUAGUUGAGAAGCCCAACUAUCAUCAGUACCAGAGAAAGUGAUUCAGAUCAAAUCAUGUCGAAAAUGGAGAGAACAUUCCCUCUUGUCUAUUUCCAAUGCCUUGUUUUCCUUCUCAUGAAGCAUGUAUUGCUACCAAAAACAGUGAUGGCAGAACCAAGGGCCAAGACUGUCAAUAUAACAUGCAACCAUAAGCUAGAGCACAACACCACCGCCUUUGUUCCAAAUUUUGUUGCAACCAUGGAGAAGAUCAGUGAACAGAUGCGUAGCAACGGUUAUGGCACAGCAGUUGUAGGGACAGGAGGACCUGACACUAAUUAUGGGUUGGCUCAGUGCUAUGGAGAUCUCUCAUUACUUGACUGUGUGUUAUGUUAUGCCGAGGCACGCACGGUUCUUCCCCAAUGCUUCCCUUACAAUGGUGGUCGCAUAUACCUUGAUGGUUGCUUCAUGAGGGCUGAGAACUAUAGCUUCUAUGAUGAGUACACAGGGCCAGGAGACAAGGCUGUUUGCCUUAACAUAAGAAAGAAGAACACAAGUUUUCAAGAUGCAGCAAAGAAGGCUGUUUUGAGUGCAGUUCAAAAUGCACCAAACAAUAAAGGGUAUGCUAGGGAGGAGAUUUCUGUAGCAGGAACAGCAAAUGGUUCGGUUUAUGUUCUGGCUAAUUGUUGGAGGAGUUUGGACACAAGGUCUUGUAUAGCUUGUCUUGAGAAUGCAUCUUCUUCCAUAUUGGGGUGCUUGCCCUGGUCAGAAGGGCGAGCACUGAACACUGGAUGCUUCAUGAGGUACUCAGACACAAAUUUUCUUAACAAGGAACAAGAAAAUGAAAACUCGGAAGGUAAUGUAGUAGUGAUAUUGAUUGCAAUAGUCAGUGCAGUGAUUGUUUUGGUGGUUGGAAUAGCUCUUGUGGUUUAUAUCCGCCAACGCAGAUAUAUUCAAAAGAAAAGAAGAGGUUCUAAUGAUGCAGAAAAGUUAGCUAAGAGCCUUCACCACAAUAGCUUGAACUUCAAGUACUCUACACUGGAGAAGGCUACUAAUUCUUUUGAUGAAACCAACAAGCUUGGACAAGGAGGAUUUGGAACGGUUUAUAAAGGAGUUCUUGCUGAUGGAAGAGAGAUUGCUAUCAAGAGAUUAUAUUUCAACAACAGACAUAGAGCAGCAGAUUUCUACAAUGAAGUCAACAUAAUUAGUAGUUUGGAACACAAGAAUCUAGUCAGACUCUUGGGAUGCAGUUGUUCAGGACCUGAAAGCCUGCUUAUAUAUGAAUAUCUAUCUAACAGAAGUCUUGAUCGAUUCAUAUUUGAUAAGAACAAGGGUAAAGAACUAAACUGGGAUAAGAGAUAUCACAUUAUCAUCGGUACAGCUGAAGGAUUGGUUUACCUACAUGAGAACUCCAACAUUAGGAUAAUUCACAGAGAUAUAAAAGCCAGCAACAUCUUAUUGGAUGCAAAACUUCGCGCUAAAAUUGCUGAUUUUGGUUUGGCCAGGUCCUUUCAAGAAGAUAAAAGCCACAUUAGUACAGCUAUUGCUGGAACUUUGGGUUAUAUGGCUCCUGAGUACCUAGCACAUGGUCAGUUAACAGAGAAAGCAGACGUAUAUAGCUUUGGAGUGUUACUGCUAGAAAUAAUUACCGGGAGACAGAACAACAGGAGCAAAGCAUUAGAAUAUUCAGACAGCCUAAUAAUAAUGACAUGGAAGCAUUUUCAGUCAGGAACUGUGGAACAAUUAAUUGAUCCACAUUUAGUGUUGGAUGACAACCAUGAAAGCAAUGUUCAGAAUGAGAUUUUAAGAGUAUUGCACAUAGGACUUCUGUGCACCCAAGAAAUCCCUUCUUUAAGACCAUCAAUGUCAAAGGCACUAAAGAUGCUGACAAAGAAGGAGGAGCACUUGGAAGCUCCCUCUAAUCCACCCUUUGUAGAUGAAAGUACCAUGGAACUCCAUGACCAAAAUGAUGACCCAUUUUACCCUCUCAAUGCAGCAGACUCAUUGGCUACUAUGUCCCAUAGCUCAUUUUAUCCCAGGUAACCAAGAAAAUGCAGAGAAAAAGACACUAUAACUAAGCAAACUGGCUUCACUUGUGCAAGCCAAAUAACAUGGACAGGCUUAUGCUUAUGCCAUGGAGAUGGAGGUCUCUACCAAUGUGUUUGAAAUUUUGGAUAUGUACCAUGUGAACUUCAUGUCUGCACACAAGGAGAGCUACUACGCCAAAUUUUGAAAAUGGAAAGCAAAUGGUGCAUAAACUACAUAAAUAGGGAAGUAAGCAAUAUUUCAUUGUCAACCCCUUCUGCUUUCAGAAUUUACAGAAGAAAAUAAUUAAUCAGGAUAUACAUUUGAGAUCGUGAGCCAUGCACAUGCACACACCUCAUUCAUCAGUAAGGAACCGACCAGUCAGACCAUCCACCAUAGAAAACGGCAUAUUCUCAGAUGGUUUCCAGUGACGCUUUCUUUGAUUAAUAAACCAAUUGUUAAUUUGUUUCUGGUCUAACCCGGUUGAUUUAGCUAGUGC